UGAACGCUGGCGGCGUGCUUAACACAUGCAAGUCGAACGAGAAAGUUCUUUUCGGAGAGCGAGUAGAGUGGCGCACGGGUGAGUAACACGUGGAUAAUCUACCUUCAAGUUUGGGACAACCAUUCGAAAGGAUGGCUAAUACCGGAUGAAGUAUACAACCAUACUGGUUGGAUAUGAAAGACAGCCUCUGUAUAUGCUGUUGCUUGGAGAUGAGUCCGCGCACCAUUAGCUUGUUGGUGGGGUAAUGGCCUACCAAGGCAUCGAUGGUUAGCUGGUCUGAGAGGAUGAUCAGCCACACUGGAACUGGAACACGGUCCAGACUCCUACGGGAGGCAGCAGUGAGGGAUUUUGCGCAAUGGGGGAAACCCUGACGCAGCAACGCCGCGUGAGUGAAGAAGGUCUUUGGGUCGUAAAGCUCUGUCAACAGGGAAGAAAUUAUCAUAUUUUAAUAGAAUAUAGUAUUGACGGUACCUGUGAAGGAAGCACCGGCUAACUCC
rnacentral:rRNA from 1 species